rnacentral:tRNA from 1 species
AGCUCGUUUGGUGAAAGUGGUAGACACGACAGACUUAAAAUUUGUUCCUUUUUAGGGUAUCGGUUCAAGUCCGAUAGCGAGUA